ensembl:lncRNA
AUGCACAGCAUCCUCAGGGCAGAGCUACAAGGAAAGUACCAUGAGGAUCCCUGUUUUACAGAUGAGGGAAGCAGAGCUCAAAGAGAUCGUGUGAUUGGCCUGAGGUCACAUAUCCGCAAGCGGGAUGGCCAGGACAGCACCUGCCUCUGCCUGCACCAGGGCAACAGAGCACGCACAAUGGACCAAGCAGGGGACGAUGCUGGUAGAGACAUCCACAACUACCAGACUAAAGAACCUGGACUUGGCCGGACGCGGUGGCUCACGCCUGUAAUCCCAGCACUUUGGGAGGCCGAGGCGGGUGGCUCACCUGAGGUCAAGAGAUGGAGACCAUCCUGGCCAACAUGAUGAAACCCUGUUUCUACUAAAAUACAAAAAUUAGCCAAGUGUGGUGGCGGGCGCCUGUAGUCCCAGUUUUUCGGGAGGCUCAGGCGGGAGAAUGGCGUGAACCCGGGAGGCGGAGCUUGCAGUGAGCCGAGAUUGCGCCACUGCAUCCAGCCCGGGCGACACAGCGAGACUCCAUCUCAAACGGAACAAACCAACCAAAGGGAUCUGUCUGUGUAUGUUAAGCGGCUGAGUUGGGAGCUGCGAGACUAGGGAAGGGAGGAGGAGGCUGGCUGAUACUGUGACCCACAUGAGAAAGAAUGAGGUCUGAGCUAGGGACGAGGCUUUAGAGACGGAGACGCCUUGAGAGUGAUUAUAUGGGAAUCCUCAGAUCUCUCUCUCUCUCUCUCAAUGCACGAGUGCCUGGUUUUAAUUCCCUGAUGAACUUCAGAGCUGCAGAACUUCAGAGUGGGAAAAUAAUACUAGCAGCCGUUCCCAGGUGUCCCACAUUGUCUGUGCAAAGGCAUUAUGCUUGGUCCUUUCAUACAUGAUUUUAUUUCAUCACCCUGAGCGGUAACAGAAUCAUUCCUGUUUUACAAGUGACAAAUAAUAUGACGCUGACUAAAGACUUCACAGCUCUAGGGCACGCUGGUAGCGUUGGACUGAGACUAAAGUCCUCCCAACAUGCCAACAUCCCUCAACCCAAGGAGAUCCGUUUUCCGUUCCCGCCUUCGGAGGCCAGCGGCCCGCCCCACACUGCAUCUCGCUCAUGACAGCCCGUCUAGCCGCCCCGCGUCUCUAGGGUUUUCCCUUCUUGCCCAUCUACCCGCAGGCUUCCUCUCGUCUGCACUCCCACACUGGCCCCUCUACCCGCCCGCCUCUCUAUGGUUCCCCCUCUCUCCCCAGGCCCAGCCGUCCGGCUUGUUACAACUUCUCCUUCUCUAAGCUCCUCAGCACUGGAGCCAGCGGGUCCUAGGCGGGUUGGGUCGGCUAUCUGAGCUGCCUCUCUGGUCCAGCCGAGAGGAAACGGCGGCCAGUGAGAGUGCUUUUAGGAAAGGCCCGGGCCGUGACUUCUGGGAAGAGUCCCUGGGAAAAAGGGCCCUUUGCGAAAACGGUCCGGCUGGAAACACAAGGCUCCGAGAGGAAGGAGCCGCUCUCCGCUCUGACCCACCCCACCCCCUUCAGUAAGUGGGGACCCCUCCUCCCCACAACUCCCCAAACGAUCACUCUCCGCAGAGGGGCUUCCUGUCUCUCGUUCAUUUUUGUUCUGACAGCGCUGGGAACCGACGGGGAGAUCGGGACGUGCCCACCUCAUCACACAGACGAAAACCUCAGGCGCUAGAAUAGGGAGGAACUCGCUCGGAACCAGCCAGGAGCCAACCGGGGCUCCCGACUCUCCGUUCUGGGAACCUCCGUGUUUUUCUGUUUGAAGAUAGGCGGGGUAGGUAGCGACAAGAAGGGUCCUGAGAGAGGCGUGGAGGGCCCCCACAAUCCGGCUCCAAGCCGGAGUCCAGUCUUACCUAUCAGGAUUCCCCCUUUCGUGUAGCAAAGCGGAUAUUAUUCUUUCCCUUAAAAGUCGUUAAACGUAGCUCUGCAGGUGGGUUUACCACGAAGCUAACAAAGCUUAAGCUUCCUAAGCUCCUCGCGGACACGACCACUUCUCUACCUGAUGGCUGUCCACAAUUCAAAGAAUAUUUAAGAUUAGCCACUGCUCAAAAAAGUUUGCCAUGCCUUGUAAACUUAAAUUCAUACCUGAAAGAAACGUGAUUUUGAUUUUCCCAAACUUGACCGUACUAAAUCUGCAACUGUCCUGAAUCUGAAAUAAAACUUGCUUAAACUGUAAAUUGUUGUGCUAU